CAAUAGCGUAUAUUUAAGUUGUUGCAGUUAAAAAGCUCGUAGUUGGAUUUCGGUUAAGAGCGACCGGUCCGCUGUUUGGUGUGCACUGGUUGGUUUUAACUUCCUGUAGAGGACGUGCUCUGGGUUUAACGACCUGGACUCGGAGUCUACGUGGUUACUUUGAAAAAAUUAGAGUGUUCAAAGCGGGCUUACGCUUGAAUAUUUCAGCAUGGAAUAACACUAUAGGACUCCUGUCCUAUUUCGUUGGUCUCGGGACGGGAGUAAUGAUUAAGAGGAACAGUUGGGGGCAUUCGUAUUUCAUUGUCAGAGGUGAAAUUCUUGGAUUUAUGAAAGACGAACUUCUGCGAAAGCAUUUGCCAAGGAUGUUUUCAUUAA
rnacentral:rRNA from 1 species